UGAGGGAAAGUUGCAAAGAACUUUGAAGAGAGAGUUCAAGAGUACGUGAAACUGCUCAGAGGUAAACGGGUGGACCCUCGAAAUCCAUCUGUGGAGGGAUUCAGUCGGUAGCGUCAGAGGCGAGAGCGGGUACCGGACCCCUAACGAGGACGAGUCCCGCUCAGCAGUAUCUGGCGAGGCCGUCGCAUUUCCCCCUGCACUUAGGACGCCGCAACCGAUCGGGUAGCUGCGAGAGUCGGCCGUGAGGCGGCGGCGGAACGAAGCCGAGACCGGGACCCGUCCCGGUGGCGCUCGGUGUAUACGCUGCCGUUCGUGGCGCGACACCCGAUCGAGGUUAACGUUCCUCUUGCGAGGAACCGACCGUCUCCGGCCUUGGGCCGCGGCGCCCGGGUCAGUGUGCACCGGCGAGGUCGAACCACUCUUUCGUAGUGGCCGGUCCGUCGGCUGCCGUCGUUGGAUCCGGGCCUGCCGCGGAGGGCGGCUUCUAUUCGGUUGGCGGCGAGUAGGUCGGUCACCCACCCGACCCGUCUUGAAACACGGACCAAGGAGUCUAACAUGUGCGCGAGUCGCAGGGUCUUGAACAGGCCCUCGGGCGCAAUGAAAGUGAAGGUCUUCGGACCGAGUUGGGACUCCCUCCUCGAGGGGGAAGCACCAACGGCCCGUCCAGUCCGAUCCGUCGGCGGGGCGGAGUCCGAGCGUACACGUUGGGACCCGAAAGAUGGUGAACUAUGCCUGGGCAGAACGAAGCCAGAGGAAACUCUGGUGGAGGUUCGCAGCGGUUCUGACGUGCAAAUCGAUCGUCAGACCCGGG
rnacentral:rRNA from 1 species